rfam:Schistosoma mattheei strain Denwood, Zambia genome assembly, scaffold: SMTD_scaffold0016611
AUCCAGAUGACGAGUCCCAAAUAAGACUAAACGUGUGUCAAACUGGAU